UGGGGAAUAUUGGACAAUGGGGGCAACCCUGAUCCAGCAAUGCCGCGUGUGUGAAGAAGGUCUUCGGAUUGUAAAGCACUUUCGACGGGGACGAUGAUGACGGUACCCGUAGAAGAAGCCCCGGCUAACUUCGUGCCAGCAGCCGCGGUAAUACGAAGGGGGCUAGCGUUGCUCGGAAUGACUGGGCGUAAAGGGCGUGUAGGCGGUUUACACAGUCAGAUGUGAAAUCCCCGGGCUUAACCUGGGAGCUGCAUUUGAUACGUGUAGACUAGAGUGUGAGAGAGGGUUGUGGAAUUCCCAGUGUAGAGGUGAAAUUCGUAGAUAUUGGGAAGAACACCGGUGGCGAAGGCGGCAACCUGGCUCAUGACUGACGCUGAGGCGCGAAAGCGUGGGGAGCAAACAGGAUUAGAUACCCUGGUAGUCCACGCUGUAAACGAUGUGUGCUAGAUGUUGGGUAACUUUGUUAUUCAGUGUCGCAGUUAACGCGUUAAAGCACACCGCCUGGGGAGUACGGCUGCAAGGUUG
rnacentral:rRNA from 1 species